GAUGAACGCUGGCGGCGUGCCUAAUACAUGCAAGUCGAGCGAACCACUUCGGUGGUGAGCGGCGAACGGGUGAGUAACACGUAGGUGAUCUGCCCAUCAGACGGGGACAACGAUUGGAAACGAUCGCUAAUACCGGAUAAGACGAAAGUUUAAAGGUGCUUCUGGCACCGCUGAUGGAUGAGCCUGCGGCGCAUUAGCUAGUUGGUAGGGUAAAGGCCUACCAAGGCGACGAUGCGUAGCCGACCUGAGAGGGUGAACGGCCACACUGGGACUGAGACACGGCCCAGACUCCUACGGGAGGCAGCAGUAGGGAAUCUUCGGCAAUGGGCGAAAGCCUGACCGAGCAACGCCGCGUGAAUGAUGAAGGCCUUCGGGUUGUAAAAUUCUGUUAUAAGGGAAGAACGACUUCAGUAGGAAAUGGCUAGAGUGUGACGGUACCUUAUGAGAAAGCCACGGCUAACUACGUGCCAGCAGCCGCCGUAA
rnacentral:rRNA from 1 species